AUUGAACGCUGGCGGCAGGCCUAACACAUGCAAGUCGAACGAGUGGCGGGAGGGUGAGUAAUGUCUGGGACACUGCCUGAUGGAGGGGGUUAACUACUGGAAACGGUAGCUAAUACCGCAUACCAUAAGAUGUGCCCAGAUGGGCGUAGCUUGUUGGUGGGGUAACGGCUGACAAAGUCGACGAUGCCUAGCUGGUCUGAGAGGAUGACCAGCCACACUGGACAUGAGAGGCGGUCCAGACGCCUACGGGAGGCAGCGGUGGGGAAUAUUGCGCAUGGGGCGCAAGCCUGGUGCAGCCAUGCCGCGUGUAUGAAGAAGGCCUUCGGGUUUUAAAGUACUUAAAGCGGGGAGGCGUUACCCGCAGAAGAAGCACCGGCUAACUCCGUGCCAGCAGCCGCGGUAAUUC
rnacentral:rRNA from 1 species